GACGAACGCUGGCGGCGUGCUUAACACAUGCAAGUCGAACGGAAAGGCCCUGCUUUUGUUGGUUGCUCGAGUGGCGAACGGGUGAGUAACACGUGAGUAACCUGCCCUUGACUUUGGGAUAACUUCAGGAAACUGGGGCUAAUACCGGAUAGGAGCUCCUGCUGCAUGGUGGGGGUUGGAAAGUUUCGGCGGUUGGGGAUGGACUCGCGGCUUAUCAGCUUGUUUGUGUGGUAGUUGCUUACCAAGGCUUUGACGGGUAGCCGGCCUGAGAGGGUGACCGGCCACAUGGGGACUGAGAGACGGCCCAGACUCCUACGGGAGGCAGUAGUGGGGAAUAUGGCACAAUGGGCGGAAGCCUGAGGCAGCAACGCCGCGUGCGGGAUGACGGCCUUCGGGUGGUAAACCGACUUCGCCGGUGACGAAGCGUGAGUGACGGUAAUGGGUAAAGAAGCACCGGCUAACUACGUG
rnacentral:rRNA from 1 species